rnacentral:lncRNA from 1 species
CUAUUACAAGGGGGGAAUUAAAUAUGCAGAGCAAGCAAUUGCACUACGGAAAAGAGGAACCGAUGCAUAAACAUGGCUAGCAAAGGGGCAUACGUGUGUCUUUAUCGCAUUACAUUAGUCACUACGUAACCAAAAGGUAAGGCACUAGGACUAAGCUAAUCAACUGAUAUGCAUGUGUUCACCUAAUGCCCAUCUAACACCACUAGGCAUAUCACAGAGAAUUAACGCCAUUACACAACAAAAUACUUUAGGCAUACCGCUGUCCCAGCACGAGCAUGCACCAGGUAAUACUAUCAUUUCAUGAACAAUGCUUACAGCGUGCUACUUAAUUAUAGAUGUAGCUUUGCAUUUUGUGACUUGGCUAAAAAUUAGUUGAAUUUGUAAUGGUGGGCUUGAGGGUAUUGGACCUGGAAGCUCUCUUUCGGGGGAAAAUGGGAGUGGGUUGUGACAAUAGGUUAACUAAAAAAACAUGUGAAUGAUAAAUGUGAUUUUGAUCCAAAUAACAUAGAGGUGACUCUGUGGUUGUGGUUGUUUCCUUAAUAUUAACGAGAAUGAUAAAAAAAAAAUCAAGCUGCAGCGGAAUCAAGGCGUAACAGGUUUUUUCCUUAUUUUGUUUUGUUCCAGCUGGUAAUGGUACGUAUUUGUCUAGAUUAGAUUGUAUGUUUCAAAACUUUCAUCCCCUUUCAAAACUUUCAUGUUCCAUCCCCACUAUACAAAGCAUGUUAAUAAACUUUGAGUAGUAUCGUACAUACAAAACUUAUUGCACACAUGAAUAGAAAUUUCAAAUUUCAAAAUGGAUGCAGCCGACGAGAGACUGGACAAAGUAAUCAUGAAGUAAUCAACUUCUGCAAAAGAGUCAAGUGAUGAAUGUGAACUCAAGAAAAGAAAAACAAUCACUGGACUCGCGUCCCGAGGGAUAGGUGAUGCAUGGCUUGAGACGUACACGAGGAGAACAACGUUGCAGGAUCCGUAGAAGUACCGCUACCUCAAGCACUGAACGGG